GGAAACGGUAGCUAAUACCGCAUAACGUCGCAAGACCAAAGAGGGGGACCUUCGGGCCUCUUGCCAUCAGAUGUGCCCAGAUGGGAUUAGCUAGUAGGUGGGGUAACGGCUCACCUAGGCGACGAUCCCUAGCUGGUCUGAGAGGAUGACCAGCCACACUGGAACUGAGACACGGUCCAGACUCCUACGGGAGGCAGCAGUGGGGAAUAUUGCACAAUGGGCGCAAGCCUGAUGCAGCCAUGCCGCGUGUAUGAAGAAGGCCUUCGGGUUGUAAAGUACUUUCAGCGGGGAGGAAGGCGKUGAGGUUAAUAACCUCAYCGAUUGACGUUACCCGCAGAAGAAGCACCGGCUAACUCCGUGCCAGCAGCCGCGGUAAUACGGAGGGUGCAAGCGUUAAUCGGAAUUACUGGGCGUAAAGCGCACGCAGGCGGUCUGUCAAGUCGGAUGUGAAAUCCCCGGGCUCAACCUGGGAACUGCAUUCGAAACUGGCAGGCUAGAGUCUUGUAGAGGGGGGUAGAAUUCCAGGUGUAGCGGUGAAAUGCGUAGAGAUCUGGAGGAAUACCGGUGGCGAAGGCGGCCCCCUGGACAAAGACUGACGCUCAGGUGCGAAAGCGUGGGGAGCAAACAGGAUUAGAUACCCUGGUAGUCCACGCCGUAAACGAUGUCGACUUGGAGGUUGUGCCCUUGAGGCGUGGCUUCCGGAGCUAACGCGUUAAGUCGACCGCCUGGGGAGUACGGCCGCAAGGUUAAAACUCAAAUGAAUUGACGGGGGCCCGCACAAGCGGUGGAGCAUGUGGUUUAAUUCGAUGCAACGCGAAGAACCUUACCUACUCUUGACAUCCAGAGAACUUAGCAGAGAUGCUUUGGUGCUCGCGAGAGCAAGCGGACCUCAUAAAGUGCGUCGUAGUCCGGAUUGGAGUCUGCAACUCGACUCCAUGAAGUCGGAAUCGCUAGUAAUCGUAGAUCAGAAUGCUACGGUGAAUACGUUCCCGGGCCUUGUACACACCGCCCGUCACACCAUGGGAGUGGGUUGCAAAAGAAGUAGGUAGCUUAACCUUCGGGAGGGCGCUUACCACUUUGUGAUUCAUGACUGGGGUGAAGUCGUAACAAGGUAACCGUAGGGGAACCUGCGGUUGGAUCACCUCCUUA
rnacentral:rRNA from 1 species